GUACUGUAUCUGACUCUGAAUAAACUAGGAGACUCUGGAGUGAAGUUACUCUCUGAUCUGAAGAAUGAUCCACAUUAUAAACUGGAGACAUUAUUAUAUUGACUCUCAGUACUGAGACGUCAGCUGAUGGUGAAUAAGAGCCGCUACAGAGACGUCACAGUAGGGCUGGGCGAUGUAUCGAAUAUUAGCGAUAAUAUCGGAAUAAUUUUGACGACGAUGUAAAAUUUGAAAAUAUCAGGAAUAUCGAAUAUUUCAAAUUCAAGCACACUUUCCCAAAAGAACGCGCUGAACGUUCAAAAAAGGAACAUGUAACUGUGGACUGCUCUACAUGAGAGCGGUUGCCAGAUAACAAGAGUUUAAAUCCCCGAACCAGAGCUUCGCUGUUACAAGGAUACAUUUUCUGCCCAGUGUUUGCUUAUUUUAAGAAAUCUGGCAACCAUGCGCACAUGCUCACUCCUCAUUGCAGAAGGCGCCGCCGAUGAUGAUCUGAAAACACUAACAAGCUGGAGUUUAUGAUCUAAUGAAAGCGACGUUCAGCCGGUCUGUGUUCUGUCAUGAGAUCUCGACUGUAUUGUUUGUGAUUGUGAUCGCUGAAUAAAUGCACUUACUCGACCGCUGAUUUUUGAAUAGAGAAACAUAGACUAUGGCCAUUUGGAAUUACUAUUAGGGAAUUUCACUGUUAUAUUUACCAGUUUUCAUAAUAUAGACAGAGAGAGUGCAAAAGUCUUUGGUAUUCAUUCAUAUAUAUAUAUAUAUAUAUAUAUAUGUGUGUGUGUGUGUGUGUGUGUGUGUGUGUGUGUGUGUGUGUGUGUGUGUGUGUGCUUCAGCAACUAGCUCCCCAUCUAAGAGUGUUUUUAGUGUCAAUGGGAACAUAAUUUCAUGCCACAGAGCUCCUCUUAAAACCGCAGACAGUUGACAGACUUGUGUUCUUAGCUAAAAACCUGUAAAAAGUUGACAAUGUACUUUCUGUACUUGUUUUGCACUACUUCAGUUACAUAUGUUUUCAUUUAAUAAAAAGCAGUAAGUGAUUA